GACGAACGCUGGCGGCGUGCUUAACACAUGCAAGUCGAACGAAGAGCGACGGAAGCUUGCUUCUAUCAAUCUUAGUGGCGAACGGGUGAGUAACGCGUAAUCAACCUGCCCUUCAGAGGGGGACAACAGUUGGAAACGACUGCUAAUACCGCAUACGAUCUAACCUCGGCAUCGAUGAUAGAUGAAAGGUGGCCUCUACAUGUAAGCUAUCACUGAAGGAGGGGAUUGCGUCUGAUUAGCUAGUGGGAGGGGUAACGGCCAACCAAGGCGAUGAUCAGUAGCAGGACUGAGAGGAUGAACAGCCACACUGGGACUGAGACACGGCCCCGACUCAUACGGGAGGGAGCAGUGGGGAAUCUUCCGCAAUGGAAGAAAGUCUGACGGAGCAACGCCGAGUGAGCGAUGACGGCCUUCGGGUUGUAAAGCUCUGUUAAUCGGGACGAAAGGCCUUCUUGCGAAUAGUGAGAAGGAUUGACGGUACCGGAAUAGAAAGCCACGGCUAACUACGUG
rnacentral:rRNA from 1 species